UACGUAGGGGGCAAGCGUUGUCCGGAUUUACUGGGUGUAAAGGGAGCGUAGACGGCGAUGCAAGCCAGAUGUGAAAGCCCGGGGCUCAACCCCGGGACUGCAUUUGGAACUGUAUAGCUAGAGUGUCGGAGAGGCAGGCGGAAUUCCUAGUGUAGCGGUGAAAUGCGUAGAUAUUAGGAGGAACACCAGUGGCGAAGGCGGCCUGCUGGACGAUGACUGACGUUGAGGCUCGAAAGCGUGGGGAGCAAACAGG
rnacentral:rRNA from 1 species